AUUGAACGCUGGCGGCAGGCCUAACACAUGCAAGUCGAGCGAGCGGCGGACGGGUGAGUAAUGUCUGGGAAACUGCCUGAUGGAGGGGGAUAACUACUGGAAACGGUAGCUAAUACCGCAUACCAUCAGAUGUGCCUAGAUGGGAUUAGAUAGUAGGUGGGGUAAUGGCUCACCUAGGCGCCGAUCCCUAGCUGGUCUGAGAGGAUGACCAGCCAGACUGGAACUGAGACAGCGGCCAGACUGCUACGGGAGGUAGCAGUGGGGAAUAUUGCACAAUGGGCGCAAGCCUGAUGAAGCCAUGUCGCGUGUGUGAAGAAGGCAUUCGGGUUGUAAAGCACUUUCAGCGGGGAGGCGUUACCCGCAUAAGAAGCACCGGCUAACUCCGUGCCAGCAGCCGCGGUAAUUC
rnacentral:rRNA from 1 species